AUAUCCACUAUCGUCCAAUAGGGCACAAUGAGUGGGAGACUCCUGGGCAGAGCUGGGGAAGUGGGACACAGCUCCAGAGCUGAAGAAACUCGGAGUCACAGGACCACCCAGAUGUAAAGACGUCUAAGAGGAAAUCCAAAUGUGUUGUUGGGGUCGAUUCUUUCCCAUGUACCAUGUGGAACCUCGGGUGGAGGAGGGUAUUACCUGUUUAGUCUUCAUUAUAAAUAGAGCUUCAUAAUGUCUUUUUAUGAAUGUUUUGAAACUUGUUGUCAAAUGCUCUCAUACAAGGCGAUCUGAGUGAACGUCACCAGCAAAGGAACAAUGAGUUUCAUGCACCUGCCCAUGGAGCACAAUGGAAGAUGCUUAAUUUCCCUGCAGAAAAUGAAUAAUCUGAUUAAAAAAUGAGGAGCUGCAUGCAGUUCCAUUUGGAGAACAUGGAAGUGAAGAACUUCUCUACAGUCUUCCAAGAUUCGUGAUCAUG